rnacentral:misc_RNA from 1 species
AGCGAGGGGGCCGCGCGC